rnacentral:rRNA from 1 species
CUACGGGUCGCUGCAGUGAGGAAUCUUAGACAAUGGGCGCAAGCCUGAUCUAGCCAUGCCGCGUGAGUGAUGAAGGCCUUAGGGUCGUAAAGCUCUUUCGCCAGGGAUGAUAAUGACAGUACCUGGUAAAGAAACCCCGGCUAACUCCGUGCCAGCAGCCGCGGUAAUACGGAGGGGGUUAGCGUUGUUCGGAAUUACUGGGCGUAAAGCGCACGUAGGCGGAUCAGAAAGUUGGGGGUGAAAUCCCGGGGCUCAACCCCGGAACUGCCUCCAAAACUCCUGGUCUUGAGUUCGAGAGAGGUGAGUGGAAUUCCGAGUGUAGAGGUGAAAUUCGUAGAUAUUCGGAGGAACACCAGUGGCGAAGGCGGCUCACUGGCUCGAUACUGACGCUGAGGUGCGAAAGUGUGGGGAGCAAACAGGAUUAGAUACCCCUGUAGUC